AAGACCUUGCGCUUUUGGAGCGGCCGAUGCCUGAUUAGCUAGUUGGUGGGGUAAAAGCCUACCAAGGCGACGACGGGUAGGGGACCUGAGAGGGUGACCCCCCACACUGGGACUGAGACACGGCCCAGACUCCUACGGGAGGCAGCAGUGGGGAAUUUUGGACAAUGGGCGCAAGCCUGAUCCAGCCAUGCCGCGUGAGUGAAGAAGGCCUUCGGGUUGUAGAGCUCUUUCAGCCGGGAAGAAAAGGUUGCGACUAAUAAUCGCAAUCCAUGACGGUACCGAAAGAAGAAGCACCGGCUAACUACGUGCCAGCAGCCGCGGUAAUACGUAGGGUGCGAGCGUUAAUCGGAAUUACUGGGCGUAAAGCGUGCGCAGGUGGUUUUGUAAGUCAGAUGUGAAAGCCCCGGGCUCAACCUGGGAACU
rnacentral:rRNA from 1 species